rnacentral:rRNA from 3 species
AAAACGACUCUCGGCAACGGAUAUCUAGGCUCUCGCAUCGAUGAAGAACGUAGCAAAAUGCGAUACUUGGUGUGAAUUGCAGAAUCCCGUGAACCAUCGAGUUUUUGAACGCAAGUUGCGCCCAAAGCCAUUCGGCCGAGGGCACGUCUGCCUGGGCGUCUCA